rnacentral:rRNA from 1 species
GAUGAACGCUAGCGGCAGGCCUAAUACAUGCAAGUCGAACGGUGUCUUCGGACAUAGUGGCGCACGGGUGCGUAACACGUAUGCAACCUACCUUACAUUGGGGGAUAGCCUUUCGAAAGGGAGAUUAAUACCGCAUAAGACAGUAGCUGCGCACACAGCAGCUGUUAAAGAUUUAUCGAUGUAAGCUGGGCAUGCGUCCAAUUAACUAGUUGUGAGGUAACGGCCCACCAAGGCAAUGAUUGGUAGGGGAACUGAGAGGUCAAUCCCCCACACUGGCACUGAGAUACGGGCCAGACUCCUACGGGAGGCAGCAGUAGGGAAUAUUGGGCAAUGGACGCAAGUCUGACCCAGCCAUGCCGCGUGCAGGAUGAAGGCGUUAUGCGUUGUAAACUGCUUUUAUACAGGAAGAAACGACUCUUGCGAGAGGCGUUGACGGUACUGUAUGAAUAAGCACCGGCUAACUCCGUGCCAGCAGCCGCCGUAAAAC